rnacentral:rRNA from 1 species
UACAGAGGUCCCAAGCGUUGUUCGGAUUUACUGGGCGUAAAGCGUGCGCAGGCGGUUUUGUAAGACAGAGGUGAAAUCCCCGGGCUUAACCUGGGAAUGGCGAUGGAGACUGCGAGGCUAGAGUUUGGCAGAGGGGGGUAGAAUUCCACGUGUAGCAGUGAAAUGCGUAGAGAUGUGGAGGAACACCGAUGGCGAAGGCAGCCCCCUGGGUCAAUACUGACGCUCAUGCACGAAA